AACGCACCUUGCGCUCCUUGGCAUUCCGAGGAGCAUGCCUGUUUGAGUGUCAUGAAUUCAUCAACCCCGAAGGGAUUUUUGUCCUUCUCGGUGGCUUGGACUUGGGGGAUCCUUUGCUGGCCUUCACCGGUCGGCUCCCCUUGAAUGCAUUAGCGGGAACGUCUUGCGGACCGUCACUUGGUGUGAUAACUAUCUACGCCUCAUGACCGAUGCUCUUGUUCUGCUUCUAACCGUCCAUUGACUUGGACAGCUCUUUUGACAAUUUGACCUCAAAUCAGGUAGGACUACCCGCUGAACUUAA
rnacentral:rRNA from 1 species